rnacentral:sRNA from 1 species
AAGAGAGUCUAACAGCCGGACGCGACGACAACGACAACGACGUUAUAAAAGGCCAUGCGUCAUGGGCAGAACCGCAUAAGAAGAAGGUUCCGAGAGGGGUGCACUGAUUUGGCUGUCGGGCAGUCAGCCUGACUGUCUAAUUGGUCUGUGGAUGGAGUGUGGCGGGGGCAGAACUUAAAUGGCUUUAAAAAUGCCGAAAACGUACAAACCGAAGCCUUGGCCAUAAAAUUACUUAUACGCGCCGCUGGCAGCUGCAGCCAUACAACUUGCCACUCCACCUAUUCUACUAUCCUCGGUCCACUUAAUUCCCCCUCCGCUGGUCAGCUGCUGCACGUUAAGCCAGCAGGCAGCAAAAGCAAAUAAACAAAACGCCUCCCAGGCCAGGCCAGGCGCCCCAGGGCAGUGCCACUUGAUGCGAACGUGCCCCGACAAUGGUGUGGUCUGGUGCCGGAUUCGGUGUAAACCACCUUCCCUUACCAUCGCAUCCCAUGCAAGUCCAUUCCCGAACCAAGGCUGGCUUUAAAGUUUUCAGCCAGAGUCCAAAGCAAACAGACUGGCUGCCGAACUAAGCUGCAUUUUGAUUUUGGGCAGGGACUGAAUGGCUAUGCUGGACCUGUACUUGCACCUGCAACUGGACUGGCUCCCAAGUGCUGUCUGCUUUGAUGUCACGGCGCCCGCUGACCGCUUCCGCUCGCGGCUUUGCCUCGAAUAAUGCAAAUCCUAUAAAUGCGCCUAACGCUGCUGGCGGUCUCUUCGCGUGCGUUAUUCACUCCAAUGGAAAAUGGCGGCAGGCACGUUUUGUUUUUAGAUUGUACCCUAACUCGGGCUGCAUCAACUUUUGACUGCAGUCGAGGAAAAUACACAUACAUAUGGUAUUCUGUAAGGAAUACCAAGUUUUACAGAGUCCCCAAAAGAAUCCUCUAUGCUCUGCUCUGGAAAGGGCAUCCAAAGUGCUGUUAAUUGUUAGAGAUAAAUGUUUUGCUUUGUUUCGUUUGAUUUGCAGUUGCUUUGGUUGUCGUUUUCAUUGCUGUCGCUGUUGCUGUGGCUGUUGCUGUUGCUGUUGCCGGGACUAUUGUUGUUGCUCUUCCGCCUGCACACCUUGCCACGCCAGUGGCAGCUGCAUUCAGGAAUGGCCUGUACCCCAGAUCAUCCUCUGUCUCUGGUGGGACGCAAAGUCUGUUUGUUAUUUAGUGUUCACGGAAUCGUUUAGCCCUCCCCCGUCUGCUGCUGAAUUUUGUAUUGUUUGAAACUAUUAUUUUUUUAUUUUUGGCUCUGUUUGCACGCUUUUCACCUUAUAAAUGUUUACACAUCACUGCGAA